CAGUCGCCGCGGUAAUACGUAGGGUGCAAGCGUUAAUCGGAAUUACUGGGCGUAAAAGCGUGCGCAGGCGGUCCGCUAAGACAGAUGUGAAAUCCCCGGGCUUAACCUGGGAACUGCAUUUGUGACUGGCGGGCUAGAGUAUGGCAGAGGAGGGUAGAAUUCCACGUGUAGCAGUGAAAUGCGUAGAGAUGUGGAGGAAUACCGAUGGCGAAGGCAGCCCCCUGGGCCAAUACUGACGCUCAUGCACGAAAGCGUGGGGAGCAAACAGGAUUAGAUACCCCAGUAGUCCCUGUCUCUUAUA
rnacentral:rRNA from 1 species